rnacentral:rRNA from 1 species
CCUACGGGGGGCAGCAGUGGGGAAUAUUGGGCAAUGGACGCAAGUCUGACCCAGCAACGCCGCGUGAAGGAAGACGGCUUUCGGGUUGUAAACUUCUUUUAAGGGGGAAGAGCAGAAGACGGUAUCCCUUGAAUAAGCCACGGCAAACUACGUGCCAGCAGCCGCGGUUAUACGUAGGUGGCAAGCGUUAUCCGGAUUUAUUGGGUUUAAAGGGUGCGUAGGCGGUUUUUUAAGUUAGGGGUUAAACGUCGGGGCUUCACCUUGAUUUGCCAUUGAUACUGUAAGACUCGAGUUCAGACGAGGUAGGCGGAAUAAGUUAAGUAGCGGUGAAAUGCUUAGAUAUAACUUAGAACUCCGAUAGCGAAGGCAGCUUACCAGACUGCGACUGACGCUGAAGCACGAGAGCGUGGGUAGCGAACAGGAUUAGAUACCCCUGUAGUC